GAUGAACGCUGGCGGCGUGCCUAAUACAUGCAAGUCGAGCGAACAGACGAGGAGCUUGCUCCUCUGACGUUAGCGGCGGACGGGUGAGUAACACGUGGAUAACCUACCUAUAAGACUGGGAUAACUUCGGGAAACCGGAUCUAAUACCGGAUAAUAUAUUGAACCGCAUUGUUCAAUAGUGAAAGACGGUUUUGCUGUCACUUAUAGAUGGAUCCGCGCCGCAUUAGCUAGUUGGUAAGGUAACGGCUUACCAAGGCGACGAUGCGUAGCCGACCUGAGAGGGUGAUCGGCCACACGGGAACUGAGACACGGUCCAGACUCCUACGGGAGGCAGCAGUAGGGAAUCUUCCGCAAUGGGCGAAAGCUUGACGGAGCAACGCCGCGUGAGUGAUGAAGGUCUUCGGAUCGUAAAACUCUGUUAUUAGGGAAGAACAAAUGUGUAAGUAACUAUGCACGUCUUGACGGUACCUAAUCAGAAAGCCACGGCUAACUACGUG
rnacentral:rRNA from 1 species